UGGAAGUGGUGUCACAGUAAUAAACAAGG
rnacentral:piRNA from 1 species